GAGAAAUGGGAAAAACAGGGCAAGUCUGGAUCUGCAGUGAAGACUUUAAUCCAACUCUAAUCUCAUACUCAUA
ensembl:snoRNA small nucleolar RNA SNORD19